UAUAAGUGAUAUCAUAUGCUAUUUGUCUUUCUCUGUUUGACUUACUUCACUUAGUAUGAUAAUCUCUAGGUCCAUUGUCAUUUCUAUUUCUAAGUUCUGUCCGCCAGUCGUUCUACACACCCAACCAUCGGUGGAAAUCUUUGAAUCUUAUCAGUGGACGGGAGUUUUAAAAUUUUGUUCCUCAACCCACUUAAUUUACAGCUAAACAAGAGUGAAGGUUUUGGAGAAGGGAGGAAGGGGAGAGAGACCUGGUGCUACUUUUCCCCUGUGACAGAAGGGAGUUUACCAAGAAACAGAAGAUGGAUACCACACUGUUGGGUGGUAAGUACCACGGUUCCACGGCCAGAAGGACUUCACUGAAGUCCAAAGCAAAAGAGGGAAUUCAGUAAGUGAUUCUCGCUUAUAGCUACAAUACUGAGCUGGGAGUUGAGGAGAAGCGUUCUUCUAUUGUGCUAGUUCAGCAUCGCCUCAGCUUUGUUCUCUUGGGUCUCCAGCCCGUAGUGUCACCAACUCAUCCCUGACCUGGGAGGGUGUAGCCCAGGAAAUUUACUGAAUACAUGAGAACAGUACUAGUACUGCUAUGGUUACUUGGCUCAAAUUAAAUAUUAUAAGAUGAAGUAAGAUUCCUUUUAUUCUUAUUUACAUAAGCAAAAUGUGCUAACUGUAAAUAAUUCAAAUAAUAUGAAAAACCAAAUCCUCUUUACCCACAGUAUGUGGUACCUUACUUUUUUUUUUCUUACUUGACCAUAUGUCUCAAAGCUCUUUUAUGAAGUAAAUAUAAAUCUACCUCAUUUUUUUCAGUCAUCAUGUAGUAUUCCACAAUAUAAGUGUACCAUAUUUCAUCUAACCCUUCUCUAACAGAGGAAAAUUUCUCUUUUUCCAAUUUUUCUUUAUUAUAAAUAAACCUUCAAUGACUAGCCAUGUUUAUUUUAUGAAUAUCUGUGAAUGUUUCAGAGGAACGAGUCUUAGAAAUGGAAUUAAGAAAUCCAAGAAAAUGCUUAUUUUAAAGUUUGAUAGCUAUUUCUAAGUUGUCAUCAAAAGAGAUUGUACCAAUUUACACUCUUAAAAACUGUGUGUGAAGUUGUCCAUUUCCACUUGAUAAUACUGGUAUCAAUCUAUUGAAUUUUGAACAACCUGAUUAUUUAUAAAGUACACCUUGUCGUUUAUUUUGCAUUUCCUUUAUUUUGAGAUUAAGCAUCUUUUUAUAUUUUAUCAAUGUUUUAAUUUUUAUGGUUAUCUCUUCAUUUCUUUUUCCCGGUUUUACAUUUUAUGUCUUUUAAUAAUUUUAGGAGCUCUUAAUAUAUUUUGUAUAUUAUACUUUGCUUUACAUAUUUUACAAAGACUUUCACUAGGACCUUUAGUUUUAGAGUCUUAUUUCACACAGAACUUUAAAUUUUUUGAAAUAAGGUAUUUUUAUUAAUGGCUCCUGGAAUUUGCAUCUUCCCUAGGAAGGCCUUCAUCACCCCCUAAAAUUCUAAAAACUGAUAUGCUGUGUUUUACUCAAGUUCCUUUCUGAUUUGUUAUUUUUUUUAGUUUAGUGUUUAUAGAGUUUAAUCCACUUGGAUUUUGUGUGUAUGAUGUGAUACUGGAAUCUAAAUUAUUUUUUUCAGGAUUUCCAACCCUCUCAAUAUCAUUUUUGAACAAUAUGUCCUUUUUGCUCUGAUUUGAAAUGCUCCCUUUUUAUAUUCUAAAUGUCCCUUUGUCCCUGAAUUGUUCUUUUUGAUUCAAUUUGUCCUUGUUUUUAUUCUGAACCAAUACAACAUUCUUUAAUUAACAUACACUUGGCAUAUUUUGAUAACUAAAAAUUCAGGUCCUUCCCCAUUGUUCUUUGUUUCUUUUUCUUUACAUUUUUUGGUUGUUCUCGUGCAUUUUCUCUUCCACAUGAACUCUAAAAUCAACUUAUCAAUUUCAAUAAAUCUCCCGUUAGGAUUUGUAUUGAAUUGCAUUGAAUUUAUGGAUUAAUUAGCAAAGUUGACAUCCUUAAAAUAUUGAAUCUUUCCUCCUGAAAUAUAUGUAUCUUUCCAUCUAUUCAGGUCUUCUUUUGUAUCUUCACUAAAAUUUCAUAGUUUUCCUCAUGUGGAUCUCACACUGUUCUUGUUGAUUUAUUCCUGGGAGAUUUUUUUAAAGCUUAUGUUGUCACUGGGAACAGGAUCUUUAGAUUUGGGGUUUCUACAGAGAAAAGCAUAUGAGAGCAAAAAGAAAGCAGGAGGUGAAAGAAAGGAGAGAGAAGAAAAAGAGAAAGAGAAACAAAAGGUAAGAUGAGAUGAUACAGGAAGAAGAUGGGAGAAAAUGUGAUUUUUAUUGAGUACUUAUUAUGUGACAAGCCCUGUGGCAGAGGCGUUCACAAGCACCAUUUCGUGCACUCUUCCUUGCCAGGUGGCUCGUCCGAGAAAAUGAAAUUUGAAAAGGUCAGCAAGGGAGCAUGUAACAGGAAGCAGAAAGAGAACAGGUUUGAAGUGAAAUCUGGGAACCGAUCCCAGAUUCCAUUCUCACCAGCUGUGAUUUUUGCUCCAGUCACCUAGUUACGUUCCUUGCUUGUAAAACUUGCAUAAUAUCUGUUCAGGUGAUUGUGAGGAUUAAUUAGAAUAACUUAUCUAAAGUGUCUGGCACAUUAGAUGCCAUUCUCCAUAAGUGCCAAUUCCCCUCCAGGAACCCAUCGCUUCCGGCUCCACCCCACCCCCAAAACGACUUUCCUGCCAUGGCAAAGCCAGAGUCUGCUCAGAACAGCGUGAAGCCUUCAUGUUAAUGUGCAAUGGGGUAUUUAUUCUGUGAGAGCCUAAUACCCAGGAACACAUACAUUAUGUUUUUAAGAAACAUUGUAGGAGAAACAGUUGUUAGUAGCCAUGAUCUGAAUCUGAAAAAAAAUCACAUACUCCAAAAAAAAAAAAAGUCAGCCAUUUUUACAAAAGGAGGCAUUGUUGAAAUUUGAAUCCUUAUUCAAGCCCAAAUCCCUAGUGAGAAAUAUGCUCUCUUUCUAUCCGAACAAUAGUUCCUUGUCUCGAGACGAUGCUGGCUACAUAGCCCUGGAAAGCAUCGAAUCCCCAUGGUGAUGGCAGCGUUUUCUCCCAGGGACGCUGGAAACACCGUCUGGAAGAACCACCCGACCCAGGGCUGUGGCCAUUGAAAGGACGCUCGUUCCCAGUCUAACAGGAAAACACAACUGGUCCUAGUGUCCUAGCUAUGAUGUCUCGUAUUUGCUGCAGGGCUUCCACCCUCCAGAGUUGUCCUUAUGAGAUAAGCCUGAAACUUUGGAGGGCAGUCUGCGAUCGGGGAUGAGGGAGGGAUGCUGCAAUUGGUCAGCUUGGGUCUGACUAGCUAAGUAGAGGACAUGAGGAACACAUGGCCAGAGCCCUGUGCUACUCAUCCCGGUGAGAUACAACUGUGGGCAAGUCAGCGCCCUGAAAUUCUUACUACAGGAAACUGUCACCUGCCUCUCUGUGAGAAUUACAAUUGCAGGCAAUUCAUAAAACACCAAGGGACUUCCCUGGUGGUGCAAUGGUUAAGAAGCCACCUGCCGGUGCAGGGGACACGGGUUCAUACCUGGUCCGGGAAGA